rnacentral:rRNA from 1 species
UACGUAGGGAGCGAGCGUUAUCCGGAAUCACUGGGUGUAAAGGGAGCGUAGACGGUCAUGCAAGUCUGGAGUGAAAGGCGGGGGCCCAACCCCCGGACUGCUCUGGAAACUGUGUAACUGGAGUGAAGUAGAGGCAGGCGGAAUUCCCGGUGUAGCGGUGAAAUGCGUAGAGAUCGGGAGGAACACCAGUGGCGAAGGCGGCCUGCUGGGCUUUAACUGACGCUGAGGCUCGAAAGUGUGGGGAGCAA